rnacentral:rRNA from 1 species
AGUGAACGCUGGCGGCAGGCCCUAAUACAUGCAAGUCGAACGGCAGCACAGUGGAGCUUGCUCCAUGGGUGGCGAGUGGCGGACGGGUGAGGAAUACAUGGGAAUCUGCCCAGUCGUGGGGGAUAACGUAUGGAAACGUACGCUAAUACCGCAUGCGCCCUUCGGGGAAAGUCGGGGACCGCAAGGCCUGACGCGAUUGGAUGAGCCCAUGUUCGAUUAGCUAGUUGGCGGGUAACGGCCCGACCAAGGCGACGAUCGAUAGCUGGUCUGAGAGGAUGAUCAGCCACACUGGAACUGAGACACGGUCCAGACUCCUACGGGAGGCAGCAGUAAGGAAUAUUGGACAAUGGGCGCAAGCCUGAUCCAGCCAUGCCGCGUGAGUGAAGAAGGACCCUCGGGUUGUAAAGCUC